AGUGAACGCUGGCGGUAGGCCUUACACAUGCAAGUCGAACGGCAGCACGGUAGCGUCCAGCUGUUACGGAUGGCGGGUGGCGGACGGGAGAGAUCUACACAGGUCCCUAAUUUUUCGUGAGGGCUACCGUAGCGAAACUUACACUACUAACGCAUAACACAUACGGGCGGAAGCAGGGCAUCUUUGGACCUUGCGCGUUUGCCUGUGCCGAUGUCGGAUUAGCUAGUUGGCGGGGUAAAGGCCGACCAAGGCGACGAUCCGUAGCUGGUCUGAGAGGAUGAUCAGCCACACUGGAACUGAGACACGGUCCAGACUCCUACGGGAGGCAGCAGUGGGGAAUAUUGGACAAUGGGCGCAAGCCUGAUCCAGCCAUACCGCGUGUGUGAAGAAGGCCUUCGGGUUGUAAAGCACUUUUGUUGGGAAAGAAAAGCAUCAGGUUAAUACGGUGCUGUGAUGACGGUACCCGAAGAAUAAGCACCGGCUAACUACGUG
rnacentral:rRNA from 1 species